rnacentral:rRNA from 1 species
UACGAAGGUCCCAAGCGUUAUCCGGAUUUAUUGGGUUUAAAGGGUGCGUAGGCGGCCCUGUAAGUCAGUGCUGAAAUAUCCCGGCUUAACCGGGAGGGUGGCAUUGAUACCGCGGGGCUAGAGUACAGAUGAGGUAGGCGGAAUUGACGGUGUAGCGGUGAAAUGCUUAGAUAUCGUCAAGAACACCUAUAGCGAAGGCAGCUUACUAGGCUGUAACUGACGCUGAGGCACGAAAGUGUGGGGAUCAAACAGG